rnacentral:rRNA from 1 species
UACAGAGGGGGCAAGCGUUGUUCGGAAUUACUGGGCGUAAAGGGCGCGUAGGCGGCCCGCUAAGUCGAACGUGAAAUCCCCGAGCUCAACUCGGGAACUGCGUCCGAUACUGGUGGGCUUGAAUCCGGGAGAGGGAUGCGGAAUUCCAGGUGUAGCGGUGAAAUGCGUAGAUAUCUGGAGGAACACCGGUGGCGAAGGCGGCAUCCUGGACCGACAUUGACGCUGAGGCGCGAAAGCCAGGGGAGCAAACGGG